AUUGAACGCUGGCGGCAGGCCUAACACAUGCAAGUCGAAUGGUAACAGGAAACAGCUUGCUGUUUCGCUGACGAGCGGCGGACGGGUGAGUAAUGUCUGGGAAACUGCCUGAUGGAGGGGGAUAACUACUGGAAACGGUAGCUAAUACAGCAUAACGUCCCAAGACCAAAGAGGGGGGCCUUCGGGCCGCUUGCCAUCAGGUGUGCCCCGAUUGCAUUAGCUAGUAGGUGGGGGAACGGCUCACCUAGGCGACGAGCCCUAGCUGGUCUGAGAGAUGGUCCGUAGAUGCUGCGAGAGAGUGACGGUCCAGACUCCUACUGAGAGACGCAGUGGGGAAUAUUGGGCGGAGGGCGCGAGCCUGAUGCAGCCAUGCCGGGUGUAUGAAGAAGGCCUUGGGGUGGUGAAGUACUUGGAGCGGGGAGGAAGGAAUUAUAGUUAAGACCUUGGCGCAUUGACGUUACCUGCAGAAUAAGCACCGGCUAACUCCGUG
rnacentral:rRNA from 1 species